rnacentral:rRNA from 1 species
CUACGGGCGGCUCCAGUGGGGGAUAUUGCACAAUGGGCGCAAGCCUGAUGCAGCCAUGCCGCGUGUAUGAAGAAGGCCUUCGGGUUGUAAAGUACUUUCAGCGGGGGGGAAGGGAGUAAAGUUAAUACCUUUGCUCAUUGACGUUACCCGCAGAAGAAGCACCGGCUAACUCCGUGCCAGCAGCCGCGGUAAUACGGAGGGUGCAAGCGUUAAUCGGAAUUACUGGGCGUAAAGCGCACGCAGGCGGUUUGUUAAGUCAGAUGUGAAAUCCCCGGGCUCAACCUGGGAACUGCAUCUGAUACUGGCAAGCUUGAGUCUCGUAGAGGGGGGUAGAAUUCCAGGUGUAGCGGUGAAAUGCGUAGAGAUCUGGAGGAAUACCGGUGGCGAAGGCGGCCCCCUGGACGAAGACUGACGCUCAGGUGCGAAAGCGUGGGGAGCAAACAGGAUUAGAUACCCGGGUAGUC